AAGAAAAAGAAAAGAGGAAGAGAUUUCUCUCAUCGUGCAUUAUUUCUUUUAUUGUUAUUGUUACGUUUUUUUUUAUCGUUUUAUUU
rnacentral:ribozyme from 1 species